rnacentral:rRNA from 1 species
GAGGGGAGUGAAACAGAACCUGAAACCGUGUACGUACAAGCAGUGGGAGCCCCACCACUAAGCCAGUGGUGAACUCCACAUACGCAUCCUUUGCGGAAGAUGCGGUUAACGGAGCGAAAGCGACGUUCAACCUCAGAAGAAGCAGAGGGGGCUUAGUGGUGGGGUGACUGCGUACCUUUUGUAUAAUGGGUCAGCGACUUAUAUUCUGUAGCAAGGUUAACCGCAUAGGGGAGCCGAAGGGAAACCGAGUCUUAAUUGGGCGUUAAGUUGCAGGGUAUAGACCCGAAACCCGGUGAUCUAGCCAUGGGCAGGUUGAAGGUUGGGUAACACUAACUGGAGGACCGAACCGACUAAUGUUGAAAAAUUAGCGGAUGACCUGUGGCUGGGGGUGAAAGGCCAAUCAAACCGGGAGAUAGCUGGUUCUCCCCGAAAGCUAUUUAGGUAGCGCCUCGUGAAUUCAUCUCCGGGGGUAGAGCACUGUUUCGGCUAGGGGGCCAUCCCGGCUUACCAACCCGAUGCAAACUGCGAAUACCGGAGAAUGUUAUCACGGGAGACACACGGCGGGUGCUAACGUCCGUCGUGAAGAGGGAAACAACCCAGACCGCCAGCUAAGGUCCCAAAGUCAUGGUUAAGUGGGAAACGAUGUGGGAAGGCCCAGACAGCCAGGAUGUUGGCUUAGAAGCAGCCAUCAUUUAAAGAAAGCGUAAUAGCUCACUGGUCGAGUCGGCCUGCGCGGAAGAUGUAACGGGGCUAAACCAUGCACCGAAGCUGCGGCAGCGACACUUUAGUGUUGUUGGGUAGGGGAGCGUUCUGUAAGCCGUUGAAGGUGUCCUGUGAGGGGUGCUGGAGGUAUCAGAAGUGCGAAUGCUGACAUAAGUAACGAUAAAGCGGGUGAAAAGCCCGCUCGCCGGAAGACCAAGGGUUCCUGUCCAACGUUAAUCGGGGCAGGGUGAGUCGACCCCUAAGGCGAGGCCGAAAGGCGUAGUCGAUGGGAAACGGGUUAAUAUUCCCGUACUUGGUGUUACUGCGAAGGGGGGACGGAGAAGGCUAUGUUGGCCGGGCGACGGUUGUCCCGGUUUAAGCGUGUAGGUGUGUGUUCCAGGUAAAUCCGGUUCACUUUAACACUGAGGCGUGAUGACGAGGCACCACGGUGCUGAAGCAACAAAUGCCCUGCUUCCAGGAAAAGCCUCUAAGCAUCAGGUAACAUCAAAUCGUACCCCAAACCGACACAGGUGGUCAGGUAGAGAAUACCAAGGCGCUUGAGAGAACUCGGGUGAAGGAACUAGGCAAAAUGGUGCCGUAACUUCGGGAGAAGGCACGCUGACACGUAGGUGAAGUGAUUUACUCAUGGAGCUGAAGUCAGUCGAAGAUACCAGCUGGCUGCAACUGUUUAUUAAAAACACAGCACUGUGCAAACACGAAAGUGGACGUAUACGGUGUGACGCCUGCCCGGUGCCGGAAGGUUAAUUGAUGGGGUCAGCGCAAGCGAAGCUCCUGAUCGAAGCCCCGGUAAACGGCGGCCGUAACUAUAACGGUCCUAAGGUAGCGAAAUUCCUUGUCGGGUAAGUUCCGACCUGCACGAAUGGCGUAAUGAUGGCCAGGCUGUCUCCACCCGAGACUCAGUGAAAUUGAACUCGCUGUGAAGAUGCAGUGUACCCGCGGCAAGACGGAAAGACCCCGUGAACCUUUACUAUAGCUUGACACUGAACAUUGAGCCUUGAUGUGUAGGAUAGGUGGGAGGCUUUGAAGCGUGGACGCCAGUCUGCGUGGAGCCGACCUUGAAAUACCACCCUUUAAUGUUUGAUGUUCUAACGUGGACCCGUAAUCCGGGUUGCGGACAGUGUCUGGUGGGUAGUUUGACUGGGGCGGUCUCCUCCUAAAGAGUAACGGAGGAGCACGAAGGUUGGCUAAUCCUGGUCGGACAUCAGGAGGUUAGUGCAAUGGCAUAAGCCAGCUUGACUGCGAGCGUGACGGCGCGAGCAGGUGCGAAAGCAGGUCAUAGUGAUCCGGUGGUUCUGAAUGGAAGGGCCAUCGCUCAACGGAUAAAAGGUACUCCGGGGAUAACAGGCUGAUACCGCCCAAGAGUUCAUAUCGACGGCGGUGUUUGGCACCUCGAUGUCGGCUCAUCACAUCCUGGGGCUGAAGUAGGUCCCAAGGGUAUGGCUGUUCGCCAUUUAAAGUGGUACGCGAGCUGGGUUUAGAACGUCGUGAGACAGUUCGGUCCCUAUCUGCCGUGGGCGCUGGAAGACUGAGGGGGGCUGCUCCUAGUACGAGAGGACCGGAGUGGACGCAUCACUGGUGUUCGGGUUGUCAUGCCAAUGGCACUGCCCGGUAGCUAAAUGCGGAAAAGAUAAGUGCUGAAAGCAUCUAAGCACGAAACUUGCCCC